rnacentral:rRNA from 1 species
UACGAAGGGGGCUAGCGUUGUUCGGAUUUACUGGGCGUAAAGCGCACGUAGGCGGAUUGGUCAGUUAGGGGUGAAAUCCUGGAGCUCAACUCCAGAACUGCCUUUAAUACUGCCAGUCUCGAGUCCGGAAGAGGUAAGUGGAACUCCUAGUGUAGAGGUGGAAUUCGUAGAUAUUAGGAAGAACACCAGUGGCGAAGGCGGCUUACUGGUC